AUGCGCGUGCGCACGAGUCGCAGCCGAGCAGCUGCGCACGCUUAUCCUAACGGGCGACCUCUGAAAACCCAAGUGUUUCGCUGCUAAGAAGCCGACCACAUGUCAAAAGUGUCGAGUCACCCCCGAGAGCAGCCCUUGACCCGGGAACGCCUGCGUCACGCUGGACUACACGCCGUGCGUUUUCCAGAGAGCCAAUUAGGAUCGAGAAGGUGUAAAGGGAUUUCCACCAGGCUGGGAGACGUUAAUGCUAAUUCCUGCGUCACCUCCCCGUGCCCCGGCACAUUGCACUGGCUGUUUCAAUUUUGGAUUGAGAUGUUCUCAAGAGAUUUGAUGCAAGCAAGCAAGAGAACAAAGAACCUCUCCAGCUCUCAGCACACCGGUGGGUUCUCACUCGCACUUUCCUCUGUGCCUUCCAGCAGCUGCAGUCAGCUGGUCUGACUAGCGCCCUCUGUGAGAGGCAGGCACUAAAUGUUUCUGCAGAACACAUGGCAGAGACAGUGGUGCAAACCCCCCCUCCGAGGAACAGCUGCUCCGCCAUCAAUCACACUUACACCACCGACAUGGGAUGAGCAACUUAUGUUACUGUUUCCAGAACCAUUCGCUAUGAGGCUUCGACAAGGUCUUUCAUUUUCUUAAAAUAACAACAAUAAGUGAAUUUGAAUUUGUCGGCGCUACAAACAUGCAAAAUGUGAAUACAAUGUUCUUGCUUGCAUCUAAUGUAAAUUUAAGCUUUUGUCACAAACAGAUCCCACUGCUCACACUGAUAAUGCUUCUGUGUGCGUGUGUGUGCCCGCUGUCAACAAGUUAACCACAAAUCAAGCAGCCAACCAAACAACAGCAUAAAACAGAGUGCAGGAUGUGUGACUUGGGGUCAAUCGCCAAGGCAGUGUCGGUAGAUCGCCUGCCAAUGCAAAAAAAAUUCACUCAUGCACAGUCGACCGCGGGAGAGCUAACGGAAAGCUAAUGCUAAUUAGCGAUCUCUGCUUACUAACUCACACAUUUAAUUUCAUUCCAAAGCAACCCUGACUUAAUCCAACCCGUGCAAGUCAUCAAGUAAGCUAAUGACCGAGAAUGCGUGGGUUGAUUGUGACGGUUCCUCGAGGGGCUCGUUGUUUUAAAAAAAAAUAUUGAUUCGUUUUGCGCAUGCAACGGUAUGCAGCGCUGUUGUUCUGUUUGGGUCCUGCUACUACUCGUUCGUCCGGGGGGUGGGUGGAUUGCCAUUACUUGCUAAUACUUGGCAAUCUACCCACCAUUGGUCUAAACCAGGGAUCCCCCGACCAAUGGCCAUACACCACAGGCCAUAGAGAGUGGUUUAACGUGGAGAAAUCUAUUUAAUCAUGUGAAAAAUACCUCCUGUCUUUUCACGCACAACACAUUCCUGCUACUCAACACUCGACUGUGGUAUUUCAUUUGAACUGUAGCUUUGGUUUCUUUCUUUCUCUUUCUUCCUGUCAGUUCUUUCACUAUUACAUUAGUGAACAUACUCUCAUGUCUUGGUUACUGUCAGCUUGCACCUCGUGUUUUUAUUUUCUGGACAUUUAAGAGCAAAACCCCAGUCUCCCUAACCUUUUAUUGUUUCAAUAAAAGGACAUCAUCUUCUGUUUACAUAGCUUGAAUAAAGUGAGAGGUUUUUUGUCUUUAUUGGACGGAUAAAGAGUGAGGUAGCAGACAGGGGAGAAAGAGAGCCUUGCAACAAAAGAUCAG
ensembl:lncRNA